GGCAGGGCGCUGUCACCUGUCGCGUCACACCGGCGCAGAAGACCGCCCCCAGCGUGGUCAGCGUGACGCGCAAGGACUCAGCCACCACGACCGAGGCCGCGUCGCGCCAGAUGACCGCCGACGCCGGGUGGAGGAGCCGGCAGCAGCCCGUGGUUAAAGGGUUCCGCUCUGCCGACGUGCCCGCCUCGGCGGUGAUUCCACCGCCUCCACCGCCACCUGCGCCAGUGCUGCCUCCAGCGGCCAACGGGCGAACCAGACUGAACAAGACGUCGGCCAGCCGGCCGGCCGUGCCCAAACUGGACCCGCGCGAGGAGCUGAUGAUCGCCAUUCGAGAGCACGGCGGGCUCAAGAAGAUGCGCAGCGUUCGGCCCUGAGACGUGACCAAGUGCAAUGUAGCGUGAUGCUGAGCUGGCGACACACCGCUGGCUGACGCGGAGCCCGACUGACCAACCGGCGACUUUGAUUGGUCGCCGGCGCGUCCUGCUCGCGAGCCUCCGACUCUGAUUAGCUGAGCGCGGGCGGCCUGUGACGUCUCACCGUGGCCAGCAGACGGCGGGCCGGCGGAGGCCAUGACGCCCUCCGCUCGCGCCUGUCGCGCAAGCGAGCUGGCGCGCCAGCGCCGUUCGCCGUCGAAGCCGCUCACAGACGGCGGCACGCGCCGCGCCGCCCCACCCCACCCGACUCGACCAGUGCCUAGACUCGCUAGUUAUCCCGCUGUAGUCAUGCCUGCAAGUGCCCGGACCCGGAAACGCGUGUCCACGCUCUGUCCACGGAGAUGCUGCUGUGAGCGCGUGCAUAAUGUCCCGCGUGUGCCGGCCGGCUGCGGCCGCGCUGCGACGCGUCGCUCUCCUCCCCGGCGGCCGCCAUGCGGUCGCCGGCGCAGACGGCGCCCCUUCCCCUGCGUCGGCCACCGCCCCUUGUUACGCAUAAUGCUCUGCCGGAGUCUGCCCGCACUCGCAUGCCGGCGUCAGCCCACAGCCUUCCGCCUGUACUUAGGUUUAUGUGAUACCUGUUUAGCCAGUUGAUCGCCCCCGUGCGGGUGUUGAUGAGGUGUAUGGAGCCGGGCUGCGGGGACGGCGACUGCUCCUGUCCUGACCGGCCUGACCCGACCUCGCCGCCUGGCCCGCCUCCGCGUUGUCCUGUAACUCUGUUAUACAAUCACUAAUCUAGUGUUAUUGCAACGUAUAUGCGCCAAGCCAUAAUGAAUAUAUUGCAACGAAUGAUA
rnacentral:lncRNA from 1 species